GCCUGCUGUGUGUGCUCAGCUCCUCCAUUUCCUGUCACCCUUCCCUGCUCCUAAUGGGAUACUGAGGCUCUGCUAACCCACUUUUGGUAGCGCUGCUCGUAAAGGAGGAGAGAACCGCCACUGAGGUCUAUCUGAAUCCUCACCCCAAUGCACGGUGCAGUGUCCGCUCAGCAGUGCUGGAAGGCAGAUUGCAGCCUCUUUGGAUGCUGCUUCUCACCCUCCCUGCCUACCCCCAUUCCACGCGGUGCUCUUGGAAGAGGUAUCAGAAUCCUCCUUCUUGUGUCUUGCUGAAGAUGCUCCGGGAGGAUCUGGUGGCCUCUUGCUGCACAUUGCAGACCCCGCAGGUCCCAUUUUGCUGCUGUUUGUGUAGUGGAAACUUCCUUCCAGCACUGCCCAGGCACACGGGCUGCUCCCCGGCCCCGUGCUGAGCUGGCUGUGUUGGUGCCGUGCUGCUGAGCCAUCACAUUCGUACGGCCGCCUUCGCUCAGAGCUCUGCAGGAACAGCGCAGGUGGGAAAAAAGGAACUACGAGGAGCCCCAGAAAGCACUGAGCGGCGGCAGCACAAAAAUUGACUCCAUCCCAGAGUAACUGUGCAGCAGAAGGACGUGUCGUCAGGGCAGCCUCGUAAGGUGAGGAGUCCUUCAGCAGCUCCAACAGCCCUGCACAGUGGAGGCAAUGAGGGCCAUCGGUUGUCACAUCUCUGCACUCAGCUCAGGGAGAAUCCCCACAGCUCUACUUUAGGAAACCUGGAGAUCCGACAGCAGCCAGCAGAAGGAAAGGGCUGAGUGCAGAGUUAUGGGUGCCAGAGCAAAUCCGGACAUCUCCCCGUGUUCCAUUGGGAGCUCCCAUGGAAAGCGGCCGGGGAAGCGGUGACCGACUUCGUGUCCUUCACCUGAACCCCCAAACCUCACACAAACUCAUUAGAGGUGAAUGGAAAGCCUAUGGUGCUCAGUGAGAACCAUAUCCACGCGGAAAUGGGAUUCAAACCUCUCGCUGUUCCUUCUCCUAUCUAUUAUACAUGAGCCAUCAGAGCAGCGUAUUAAUAAAACAGGAGUGAAAGCUCUUGGCACUGCCCCCUCCUUAGCAAAACAGCAGAGCAGAGGCCGUCAGCUCCCACCUCUGAGGUCUGGAGCUCCAUCUGCCCACUGCUCCGGGGCCGUGGUUGGUGCCGUGGCUGCGCCCAGCGGAGGGAGCACUCUGUGGGUGAUGGGAUUCACGCUGGAAAAAUUCUGGACAUGGCAAAGAAAGAGGGUUAAUGCGUUCAAAAUGUCUUAGCGUGGUGCAGAGCCCAGUGGGAGAUGGUGUUGUGAUAAAGGGGAAGGGCAUGGAGGUGCUUGGGCUGGGCUGCGCGCUGCAGGACUGUUCAGGCAGAGCCUCGUGGUAUGAAAUGCGGGUGAUGGAUCCCCAGACCACAACUGUAGCUUUUGUCUUUUGAGAAAGAAAAGAAGGAAUUGGUCCUACCGCUGCCUACCAACAGCCCAAAGCUUUGCUGGGCUCCUUCCUGCAGCCACCACUUGGGAUAG
ensembl:lncRNA